GGGCGCAGCCUGAUGGAGCACACCGCGUGAGUGAAGAAGGGUUUCGGCUCGUAAAGCUCUGUUGUUAAAGAAGAACACGUAUGAGAGUAACUGUUCAUACGUUGACGGUAUUUAACCAGAAAGUCACGGCUAACUACGUGCCAGCAGCCGCGGUAAUACGUAGGUGGCAAGCGUUAUCCGGAUUUAUUGGGCGUAAAGAGAGUGCAGGCGGUUUUCUAAGUCUGAUGUGAAAGCCUUCGGCUUAACCGGAGAAGUGCAUCGGAAACUGGAUAACUUGAGUGCAGAAGAGGGUAGUGGAACUCCAUGUGUAGCGGUGGAAUGCGUAGAUAUAUGGAAGAACACCAGUGGCGAAGGCGGCUACCUGGUCUGCAACUGACGCUGAGACUCGAAAGCAUGGGUAGCGAACAGGAUUAGAUACCCUGGUAGUCCAUGCCGUAAACGAUGAGUGCUAGGUGUUGGAGGGUUUCCGCCCUUCAGUGCCGGAGCUAACGCAUUAAGCACUCCGCCUGGGGAGUACGACCGCAAGGUUGAAACUCAAGAAAAUUUGACGG
rnacentral:rRNA from 2 species